rnacentral:rRNA from 1 species
GAUCAUGGCUCAGGAUGAACGCUAGCUACAGGCUUAACACAUGCAAGUCGAGGGGAAAUGAUAGAGAAAGCUUGCUUUUUCUAGGCGUCGACCGGCGCACGGGUGAGUAACGCGUAUCCAACCUGCCCACCACUUGGGGGAUAACCUUGCGAAAGUAAGACUAAUACCCAAUGAUAUCUCUAGAAGACAUCUGAAAGGGAUUAAAGAUUUAUCGGUGAUGGAUGGGGAUGCGU